rnacentral:tRNA from 2 species
GGGACGUUAGCUCAGUUGGUAGAGCAACUGACUCUUAAUCAGUGGGUCUAGGGUUCGAAUCCCUAACGUCCCACCA